rnacentral:tRNA from 1 species
GCGCUGAUCGGCUCCGAGCCCGCCGCCUCCAAGGCGGCGUCGUGAGCGCCNAGGGGUUCGAAUCCCUUCGGGCGCAC